ACGAAAGCUACAACAGGCACAAGGUGGAUGCCUAGGCGACAGUGACCGACGAAGGACGCGGUAGGCUGCGAAAAGCCAGGAGGAGGGGCCAGCACCCGUGAGACUCCUGGAUCUCCGAAUGGGGCAACCCGGCGGGGUCAACCCCCGUCACGCCCGGCUGAAUCCAUAGGCCGGGGCGAGGGCACCCGGGGAAUUGAAACAUCUCAGUACCCGGAGGAACAGAGACCAUUCCCAUAGUAGUGGCGAGCGAACUGGGAGGAGCCUAAACCGCGUGCGUGCCAAGCCCACCGGCGUUGCGCACGCGGGGUUGCGAGGCUGACCAUCCGGCGACGGUGGUCGCGGGCGGCAGUUACCAAGCGGGCGGGUAGCCGAAUGGACUGGAAGGUCCAACCAGAGCGGGUGAGAGUCCCCUCGGCGACACCCGGGCCGUCUGUCGGGUCAGUGCUCGAGUACCACGGGGCACGCUAAUCCCGUGGGAAGCAGGGACGCCCACGUCCCAAGGCUAAAUAUCACUGUCGACCGAUAGUGGAGCAGUACCGUGAGGGAAAGGUGAAAAGCACCCCGGUGAGGGGAGUGAAACAGGUCCUGAACCCUUGUGUCGACAACCCGUCAGCGACCCAGGCCUCCUCGGAGGCGGGUCCAUGGCGUGCCUUUUGGAGAAUGACCCAGCGAGUUCCGUCUACGUGGCCAGGCCAAGGGAGUCAGCACCCCAAGCCGCAGCGAAAGCGAGUCUGAAGAGGGCGCGCGAGUCACGUGGAGGAGACCCGAAACCGAGUGAGCUGCCCAUGGCCAGGGUGAAGCGCGUUUAAGCGCGCGUGGAGGCCCGCACCGGUGUCCGUUGCAAAGGGCUCGGAUGAGCUGUGGGAAGCGGUGAAAUGCCAAACGAACUCGGCGAUAGCUGGUUCUCCCCGAAAUCGCUUGCGGGCGAGCCUCGAGUCAGAGGCUGCCGGAGGUAGAGCACUGAGUCGGUGCGGGCCCAGUGCGGGUACCAAGCCGAGCCAAACUCCGAAUGCCGGCAGCCGCGCUCGGGAGUUGGCGUCUGGGGGAUGAGCUUCAGACGCGAAAGGGAAACAGCCCAGACCGCCCGCUAAGGUCCCCAAGUCUCCGCUCAGUGGGAAAGGCAGUGGGAUGACCCCGACAGCCAGGAGGUUGGCUUAGAAGCAGCCAUCCUUGAAAGAGUGCGUAAUAGCUCACUGGUCGAGUCGUCCUGCGCCGACAAUGUCACGGGGCUAAGCGGAGCACCGAGGCGGCGGAUCACACGCGAGUGUGAUGGUAGGGGAGCGUUCCGGGGGCCGAGAAGCCCGAGCGGGAGCCCGGGUGGAGCGUCCGGAAGUGAGAAUGCUGGGAUGAGUAGCGUCAAGUGUGUGCGAAUCACACUCACCGAAUGUCUCAGGGUUCCGACGGAAGGGUCGUCCCCGUCGGGUUAGUCGGGCCUUAGCCGAGGGCGCCAGCCGUAGGCGAUGGACAACAGGUCAAUAGUCCUGUACCAGGGAUGAGGAGUGAAGCGGGGACGCGGCCGGAUAGACGAGCCGGGCGGUGGUUGUCCCGGUGCCAAGCGUGUAGGUCGGCGACGGGGGGUGGCAAAUCCCCUCCCUGAGACCGAGGCGUGAUGGCGGGCCUGCGGGCCAGAAGUCGUUGAGUCCCAGCCGCCGAGAAAAGCCGCUAAACGUGGAAUCAUGCCUGCCCGUACCGCAAACCGACACUGGUAGACACGCAGAGCAUGCGCAGGUGAGCGAGGGAACCUCUGUUAAGGAACUCGGCAAAAUCGGCGCGUAACUUCGGGAGAAGCGCCGCCCGGGCCGGUGAACCCCCCGGCGGGGGGAGCCGGCCGGGGUCGCAGUGACCAGGCCCUACCGACUGUUUACCAAAAACACAGGUCUGUGCGAACGCGCAAGCGGACGUAUACGGGCUGACGCCUGCCCAGUGCCGGAAGGUUAAGGGGACGUGUCAGCGCCAGCGAAGCACCGAACCGAAGCCCCGGUGAACGGCGGCCGUAACUAUAACGGUCCUAAGUACAGCUUUGCGGAAAUCCAUAACGAUAUUGACCGCCGACAGAAAUGGCGUAUACUUCCGCAAUCAUCGAACUGAACGGGAGAUGCGCCAUGCGUGGUCGCAAGAAGACGUAUGUUGUCCAACUUGAACCGAAAGAAACCGAAGCAUUUCGCCGCCUGAUCGCUGCUCACAAGAGCCCCCAGGACGAGGUGCUGCGCGCCAGGGUGCUCCUCACGUGCCACGAACAGCCGGAGUGGAGCGACGAGCGGGUGGCUGAUGCCGUCGGGUGUUCGCCCGGGAUGGUCCGCAAAUGGCGGAAGCGCUGGGUCGAAGCCCACACGUUGAAAGAUGCCCCGCGGACCGGUCGGCCCCGGGCUUUUUCCCCCUCCGGUGCGGGCGCAGGUGACGGCGCUGGCCUGCUCGCCGCCCGAUGAAGCCGGCGUACCGGUGGCGCGGUGGAGUUGCGCUGAGCUGGCAGCGGCCCUGGUCAGCCUGGGGCUGGUGGCCU
rnacentral:rRNA from 1 species